rnacentral:lncRNA from 10 species
GAGCCUGCAAGACAAAGGCUCAGGUAGAAGAAGGAGGGCCAGGGGCUGCAGGAAGGCAGGAGGAUGCCAGGGGGAACCGAGGUAGCUGGAAAUGUUGCGAAACACACACUCACAUGCCCCAGCUUGCCCCCAAGCCGGCUGCACUGCUUUCCCCUCCUCAGCCCACUCAUGGCUCGGGUCAGCCGACGUCCCAUCCUGUGCCUUUCCAUGGUGGGAGACCACCGCGGGAUGGACCUGUGCCCCUGACCAAGCCUGAAUUAUAAGAUAAUUCUUUUGCUUCUAAAGGCUUCUUUCUAAGGCAGAAGAGUAGACACAGGUUCUGAAGAUUCUGAUCCCAGAGUUCUGGCUUUCCCCUCCCUUUGUGGCCCCCAGUUCCACCAGCAAAGCAUGGGGUGCUUUCCGGCCACCCUGCAAGCUGGGCUCCCAGGUAAGUCAUCCACGACCUCUCGUCCAGGUUUGCUGGCUCAUGGAUUUUUCUCUACGCUGAUUUUAUCACUUCAUAUAAAAUUGGACCUUGGUUGUUUUUAGCCAAUGCAGUAGUAAUAUUUUUUUUAAAGUAGACUCAUGAGAGUGUUCCCCAGCUGGGGCAUGAGUAAUCCAUCCCUAAGCUGCUCCAAGUAACAAUCCUGUUAGUGGACCAGAAAGCUGCUUUCUCUCAGACCAUUGAUUUCAAAGCUGGAAAACAGCAGGCACUGUGUUGGGAGUAAGCAAUGUGGAGUCAUCUCUUCCCCCAGAGAAACGCUGACAAGUAUUAGCUCACAGACAUGUGUGCACAAAGAUGGAUGCUCACAGUUGUCCGUUGGAGCACUGUUUGAAGCAGCAAAAGGAACCAAUUCAACUUUCCCUGAGUAGGAAAAUGGCUAAAUAAAUGCAAGAAGCCCCUUGCCAGAAGCAAGCCUCAUGACUUAGGACUUUCCAGCCUCCAGAAUUCUGGGCAUGGUGGCUCACACCUGUAAUCCCAGCACUUCGGGAGGCCCAGGUGGGCGGAUCACCUGAGGUCAGGAGUUUGAAACCAGCCUGAGCAACAUGGUGAAACCCCAUCUCUACUACAAAUACAAAAAUUAGCUGGGUGUGGUGGCUUGCAUCUGUAAUUCCAGCUACUAGGGAGGCAGAGGAAGAAGAACUCCUUGAACCUGGGAGGUGGAGGUUGUGGUGAGCCAAAAUCACAUCACUGCACUUCAGCCUGGGCAAAAAAGCAAGACUCUAUCUCAAAUAUAUAUAUAUUUUUUUUUCAAUAAAAAGCUAGAAAAAUUGGAGAGGUAUAUCAGGCUGUUCUUGCAUUGCUAUGAAUAAAGAAAAGAUGUUUAAUUGGCUCAUGGUUCUGCAGGCUGCAGAGGAAGAUACACAGGUAUCUGCUUCUGGGGAGGCCUCAGGAAGCUUCCAGUCAUGGUAGAAGGUAAAGAGGGAGCAGAUGUCUCACACGGUGGGAGCAGGAGCAGGGGGCGGGGAGGUGCCACACGCACUUUUAAACGACCGGAUCUUGAGAGAACUCACUCACCGUCACGAGAAUAGCACCAAAGGAAUGGUGCUAAACCACGCAUGAGAUAUCCUCUCCCGUGACUCAGGCCCCACCUCCAACAAUGAGGAUCACAUUUCAACAUGAGAUUUGGGCGGGGACACAGAUCCAAACCACCCAAACAGAGGCAAUAAAGACUACCUAGUCUAACUGUCUUGACGCUGCCUGAACCCCCUUGGUGGAAUGACAAUUACAUAAAAGCCUGAACUCAUUCAUUCUCCCACUCUCUUAAACUUAUUAUUCUUUCAAAGUUUAGUUUAUUUGUUUGUUUGUUUGUUUGAGUAAACUAUCAUGGUGGAGAAAAGAAAGCUUAAUUUCC